GAUGAACGCUGGCGGCGUGCCUAAUACAUGCAAGUCGAGCGAACAGACGAGAGUGCUUGCACUCUCUGACGUUAGCGGCGGACGGGUGAGUAACACGUGGGUAACCUACCUAUAAGACUGGGAUAACUUCGGGAAACCGGAGCUAAUACCGGAUAAUAUUUAGCUUCGCAUGAAGCAAUAGUGAAAGACGGUUCUGCUGUCACUUAUAGAUGGACCCGCGGUGUAUUAGCUAGUUGGUGGGGUAACGGCUCACCAAGGCAACGAGAGAUAGCCGACCUGGGGGGGGGAACGCGCACAGUGCGACUGAGGGACGGGCCAGACUGGGACGGGAGGCAGUGGUGGGGAGUAUAGCAGAAGGGGGCGAAGCAUGAUGCAGCAACGCCGCGUGCUGAAUGACGGCCUUCGGGUUGUAAACCGCUUUCGCCUGUGACGAAGCGUGCGUGACGGUAAUGGGUAAAGAAGCACCGGCUAACUACGUG
rnacentral:rRNA from 1 species